rnacentral:rRNA from 1 species
CGCGGCCUCCGGGUUCUUCCCGGGCGGUAGAGGUAACACUCUCACGCGCCACGCGUUUGAAUCCUUUUUUUACGAGCACCUUUCGUUCUCCUUCGGUGGGGCAACCUGCCGUUGGAAUCAUAAAAACCUUUUUUGCAUCUAGCAUUACCUGUUCCGAUAACAAACAAUCGUUACAACUUUCAACAAUGGAUCUCUUGGCUCUGGCAUCGAUGAAGAACGCAGCGAAAUGCGAUAAGUAGUGUGAAUUGCAGAAUUCAGUGAAUCAUCGAAUCUUUGAACGCACAUUGCGCCCCUUGGUAUUCCAUGGGGCAUGCCUGUUCGAGCGUCAUCUACACCCUCAAGCUCUGCUUGGUGUUGGGCGUCUGUCCCGCCUCGGCGCGCGGACUCGCCCCAAAUUCAUUGGCAGCGGUCUUUGCCUCCUCUCGCGCAGCACAUUGCGCUUCUCGAGGUGCUUGCGAGGCCCGCGUCCACGAAGCAUUACCAGUCUUUGACCUCGGAUCAGGUAGGGAUACCCGCUGAACUUAAGCAUAUCAAUAG